rnacentral:rRNA from 1 species
UACGUAGGGUGCGAGCGUUGCCCGGAUUCAUUGGGCGUAAAGCGCGCGCAGGCGGAUGCACGCGUCCCGCGUGAAAUCGCCCGGCUCAACCGGGCGGGUCGCGGGAUACGGUGCGUCUGGAGCACGGGAGGGGCAGUGGAAUUCCCGGUGUGAGUGGUGGAAUGCGUAGAGAUCGGGAGGAACACCAGUGGCGAAGGCGACUGCCUGGACCGUGGCUGACGCUGAGGCGCGAAAGCGUGGGGAGCGAGUCCGG